GACGAACGCUGGCGGCGUGCUUAACACAUGCAAGUCGAACGGAAAGGCCCUGCUUUUGUGGGGCGCUCGAGUGGCGAACGGGUGAGUAACACGUGAGUAACCUGCCCUUGACUUUGGGAUAACUUCAGGAAACUGGGGCUAAUACCGGAUAGGAGCUCCUGCUGCAUGGGGGGGGUUGGAAAGUUUCGGCGGUUGGGGAUGGACUCGCGGCUUAUCAGCUUGUUGGUGGGGUAGUGGCUUACCAAGGCUUUGACGGGUAGCCGGCCUGGGAGGGUGACCGGCCACAAUGGGACUGAGAUACGGCCCAGACUCCUACGGGAGGCAGCAGUGGGGAAUAUUGCACAAUGGGCGGAAGCCUGAUGCAGCAACGCCGCGUGCGGGAUGACGGCCUUCGGGUUGUAAACCGCUUUCGCCUGUGACGAAGCGUGAGUGACGGUAAUGGGUAAAGAAGCACCGGCUAACUACGUG
rnacentral:rRNA from 1 species